GAUGAACGCUAGCGGCAGGCUUAACACAUGCAAGUCGAGGGGUAGAGGAAGCUUGCUUCCUUGAGACCGGCGCACGGGUGCGUAACGCGUAUACAAUCUACCUUUUACAGAGGGAUAGCCCCAGAGAAAUUUGGAUUAAUACCUCAUAGUAUUUUCGGAUCGCAUGAUUUGAUUAUUAAAGUCACAACGGCAAAAGAAUGAGCAUGCGUCCCAUUAGCUAGUUGGUAAGGUAACGGCUUACCAAGGCUACGAUGGGUAGGGGUCCUGAGAGGGAGAUCCCCCACACUGGUACUGAGACACGGACCAGACUCCUACGGGAGGCAGCAGUGAGGAAUAUUGGACAAUGGGCGCGAAGCCUGAUCCAGCCAUGCCGCGUGCAGGAUGACGGUCCUAUGGAUUGUAACUGUCUUUGUACGAGGAAGAAACACUACUUCGUGAAGUAGCUUGGAC
rnacentral:rRNA from 1 species